rnacentral:rRNA from 1 species
AAGUGGGAAUUACGAUGAGUACCACGGAACACGUGAAACUUUGUGGGAACAUGGGGGGACCACCCUCCAAGGCUAAAUACUAACCGGUGACCGAUAGCGAAUAGUACCGUGAGGGAAAGGUGAAAAGAACCCCGGAAGGGGAGUGAAAUAGAAACUGAAACCUGAUGCUUACAAGCAGUCGGAGCGCAAGUGACGGCGUGCUUUUUGUAGAACGGGCCAACGAGUUACGGUGUGCAGCGAGGUUAAGCACUUCAGGUGUGGAGCCGAAGGGAAACCGAGUCUUAAUAGGGCGUCUAGUUGUAUGCUGUAGACCCGAAACCGUGUGAUCUAUCCAUGGGCAGGGUGAAGCGCAGGUAAAGCUGUGUGGAAGCCCGAACCAGUGUCUGUUGAAAAAGGCUUGGAUGACCUGUGGAUAGGGGUGAAAUUCCAAUCGAACACGGAGAUAGCUGGUUCUCCCCGAAAUAGCUUUAGGGCUAGCGUUGCAGUAAGACUGACGGAGGUAGAGCACUGACUUGGGUAGGGUGCAAAAUGCAUACUGAACCAUAUCAAACUCCGAAUGCCGUACAGCCAUCUGCAGCAGUCAGACUGUGGGAGAUAAGUUUCAUGGUCAAAAGGGAAACAGCCCAGAUCAUCUGCUAAGGUCCCUAAGUACUGAUUAAGUGGGAAAGGAUGUGCCACUGCAUAAACAACCAGGAUGUUGGCUUAGAAGCAGCCAUUCAUUCAAAGAGUGCGUAACAGCUCACUGGUCGAGUGGCGGUGCGCCGAAAAUGAACGGGGCUCAAAUCAGUCACCGAAGCAAUGGAUUAUACUUUAAGUAUAGUGGUAGGGGAGCAAUCUCUUGUAGGGCGAAGCGAUAUCGUAAGGUAUCGUGGACGAAAGAGAAGAGAGAAUGUUGGCAUGAGUAGCGAAAGUGAAGUGAGAAUCUUCACCAUCGGAAGCCCAAGGAUUCCUGAGGAAGGCUCGUCCGCUCAGGGUAAGUCGGGACCUAAGCCCAGGCCGAAAGGCGUAGGCGAUGGACAAUCGGUUGAAAUUCCGAUACUGAUCACUUAUGUUUGAGAGAUGGAGUGACACAGGCGGGAAAGCAGACCCGGGCGUUGGUUGACCCGGGCCAAUCAUCGAAGCUGUUCAAGGAGGCAAAUCCCUUUGGACAAGGCUGAGGUGUGAUGGGGAACGAAAAAUAAGUAGGGAAGCUGCAGACUCAUACUGUCAAGAAAAACUUCUAUUGAGUAAGGGAUCACCCGUACCGCAAACCGACACAGGUAGGCAGGAAGAGAAUUCUAAGAUGAGCGGGAGAAGUGUUGUUAAGGAACUCGGCAAAAAUACUCCGUAACUUCGGGAGAAGGAGUGCCCCGAAAGGGGUCGCAGUGACUAGGCUCAAGCGACUGUUUACCAAAAACACAGGUCUCUGCUAAAUCGAAAGAUGAAGUAUAGGGGCUGACGCCUGCCCGGUGCUGGAAGGUUAAGAGGAGUACUUAGCGCAAGCGAAGGUGCGAAUUGAAGCCCCAGUAAACGGCGGCCGUAACUAUAACGGUCCUAAGGUAGCGAAAUUCCUUGUCAGGUAAGUUCUGACCCGCACGAAA